AAGUCGUAACAAGGUUUCCGUAGGUGAACCUGCGGAAGGAUCAUUAACACGUAUCCAACGUUAAACCCCCCGUGAACCUUCAUUGUGCUCCCCCAUUCCGUUAGGACGCGGCAAUCCCUGGUAAAUCAUCGCCGAACAGUUUUGAUUCAGGGACCUCUGCAUGGAGUGGGCAGCAGCGCGAGGCAAGUGGCCUGGCAUUCGAAAGAAUGGCGCAGUAACGAUCGCUAGAGGCCGACACGGCCGGCGACCUGGGCUCAUGCAUGAAAACGGGCCUGCGCUUAAUUGUGCGGCCACCAAACUCGAACAACUGUUAACAAUGGAUAUCUUGGUUCUC
rnacentral:misc_RNA from 1 species